UACAGAGGUCUCGAGCGUUAGGCGGAAUCACUGGGCUUAAAGCGUGUGUAGGCGGAUCGGUAAGUACCUUGUGAAAUCCCACAGCUUAACUGUGGAACUGCUUGGUAUACUGCCAGUCUUGAGCCAGCUAGGGGCUACCGGAACAAAUGGUGGAGCGGUGAAAUGCGUAGAUAUCAUUUGGAACGCCAAUGGUGAAAACAGGUAGCUGGGGCUGUGCUGACGCUGAGACACGAAAGCCAGGGGAG
rnacentral:rRNA from 1 species